rnacentral:rRNA from 1 species
UAAUAGUGUAUAUUAAAGUUGUUGCAGUUAAAAAGCUCGUAGUUGAAUGUUGAUGUCGAACGAGCGGUCAGCUUCGGCUGUACUGCUCUCUCGACUCCUUCCUUCUGUGGACUACGUCGCACUUUACUGUGUGGCGCUAGGACGCAGAUCGUUUACUGUGAAAAAAUUAGAGUGUUCAAAGCAGGCCGUACGCUUGAAUACAUUAGCAUGGAAUAAUGGAAUAGGACGUCGGGCCUAUUUUGUUGGUUCUAGGACCGUCGUAAUGAUUAAUAGGGACAGUUGGGGCCGUUUAUAUUCCGUAGUCAGAGGUGAAAUUCUUGGAUUUACGGAAGAUAAACUACUGCGAAAGCAUUCGGCAAGGAUGUUUNCGUUA